GCUUUGAUACCAGUGCCUCCUGAUGAAUGAUGCAAUGGACACUGCUUUUUUUCAUGAGGCCAACAAGACCCUUCUCUUUGCCUCUCAUGCUUGGAGCACCAUCAGUACACACACUUGCAAGUUUGGACCAGCUGAGAUUAUUUUCCUCAAAAAAUACUAAAAGUGCAUUCAGAAUAUCCUCACCUCUUGUUUGGCCAUGGAGUGGUAGUAAGCACAACAUUUCCUCUUGAAAACAGUUUUCUUUUGGGAACCUCACCCAAGUGCAAAGCUGAGCAACGUCAGUGACGUCUGUGUUUUCGUCCACUGCGAUGCUGAAACACGAUGCAGCGCGCAGAUCAGCCAACAACUGGUCACUUAUGUCCUUUCCGAUGUCUUCCAUCCGCCUCAUUAUUGUUGAAUCUGACAGCUGUAACCCUUUUAUUUGUUUAAGGAUGGCGUCCUUGUUGUCAAAGUCUGUGAACAGUAUUUCUGCUGAAGCCAAAAAACAGUCUUUCACUAUUUCUGAGUCGGAGAAAGGUUUUUUAGCCCGCGCCAGAAUCCACGCUAUCUCAUAAGACGCCUCUGUUAAGCGCUCUGCAGUGGAGGUUGUGUGGUGGAUUAGAUUUUGCUGCUCACACAGUGAAGCAGUGAGCUGUGCAGUUUUCUUAAUUCUUAGUUCACUGCCAGGCGGGUAAAUUUCAUUGAAUUUUGGAUGCGCCGUUUUGAAAUGGCGCUCCAGAUUGCUUCGUUUGAAACCGGCACGGGUUUGUUUGCAAAUCAAACAUAGAGGGUAUUCAUACCAUGCAAAACAAACAGGAAUUUGUCCGUCCACUUCUCUUGAAAUUUUCUGUGCUCAUCUUGUAUGCUUCUUAUUUUUCGUUUUUUAAUUACACCUGCCGUUUCUCUGCCCGUCCCCUCUCCGAUGUCUUCCUGCUGAUUUUUGUCCUCAGACUUAUUUCCCUCAUCCACUCCACUAGCAACACUGUCUGUCUGUUCGUCUGGUUUUUGAGUUCUUUUCUGUCCCUUUUUUAUUAAAAAACGGUCCAUUUCGUAUUUCAGCUGGCAAGCGGAGCGUGCGGAGCGUGCGGAGCUAGCGGAGCUUACGUAGCCCGCCUUUAAAUUUUGAGCGGUCACGUGUUGUAAACAAUGCCACACGCUUGCGGGCUGCGUUGCCAGGUUUGACAGGUUGACAAUUCCCCCUUUAGGGAUCACCAUUAAGGCUUAAUACUUUUAAUUUCUCCUUCAUUAUUUGGGUGAAGGGACAAGUAUAAUUCAGAUGUUUGCGUUUUUGUAGUGCAGUGUUGUACGUUUAUGAAGCACAUUUGAAAAAAUGUAUUGGCUGUGUUACCACAUAGGAAGCUACCAUGCGAGCCACCAAUUAUAGCUUGACGAGCCGCAUGUGACUCGUGAGCCGCGCAAUGAGUAACGCUGCUCUAGACUCAUCGGUGCCACCAAGCCAAUUCAGUGCAGAUGUUUCAGAAUCAAGUUCAUCUUCAGAACUUUUGCUGCAGCCUUCUGACUCAGACUCAUCAGUUCGACCCCAGCUGUUCCACCCCAAAACGAUCAUUAGCUUUUAAAUCUUCAUCAUCAAACAGCAGAGGUAUUUUGGGAAAUGUCUUCCUAAGAAGGUGGAGGAAA
ensembl:lncRNA